rnacentral:rRNA from 1 species
AUACGAAGGGUGCAAGCGUUACUCGGAAUUACUGGGCGUAAAGCGUGCGUAGGUGGUUCGUUAAGUCUGAUGUGAAAGCCCUGGGCUCAACCUGGGAAUUGCAUUGGAUACUGGCGGGCUAGAGUGCGGUAGAGGAUGGCGGAAUUCCCGGUGUAGCAGUGAAAUGCGUAGAGAUCGGGAGGAACAUCCGUGGCGAAGGCGGCCAUCUGGACCAGCACUGACACUGAGGCACGAAAGCGUGGGGAGCAAACAGGAUUAGAUACCCUGGUAGUCCACGCCCUAAACGAUGCGAACUGGAUGUUGGGUGCAACUAGGCACUCAGUAUCGAAGCUAACGCGUUAAGUUCGCCGCCUGGGGAGUACGGUCGCAAGACUGAA